rnacentral:rRNA from 1 species
AUUGAACGCUGGCGGCAGGCCUAACACAUGCAAGUCGAGCGAAGCGGCGGACGGGUGAGUAAUGCCUAGGAAUCUGCCUGGUAGUGGGGGAUAACGUCAGGAAACGGGCGCUAAUACCGCAUCCUAUGAGAUGGGCCAAGGGCGGAGUAGCUAGUUGGUGGGGUGAAGGCCUACCAAGGCGACGAGCCGUAACUGGUCUGAGGGGUUGGUCGGUCACACUGGAAAUGGGAGAGGGUCGAGGCUCCUACGGGAGGCAGCAGGGGGGAAUAUUGGACAAUGGGCGAGAGCCGAAUGCAGCCAUGCGGCGUGUGGGAAGAAGGUCUUCGGAUUGUGGGGCACUUUAAUUUGGGGGGCGUUACCAACAGAAUAAGCACCGGCUAACUUCGUGCCAGCAGCCGCGGUAAUAC